UCGAGAGCUGGCUGAAGCUCGGGAAGAUUCAAGGGGGUAAUGCUUCUUCUUCAGGGUCGAAGAAGCCCUUCAGUAAUGGUCAGAGGAAGAAGGAGGGAGAUACCAGUGCGGUCUAUGCGCAGAGAGGAUCCAGUAGGGAUCGUUAGUUCCAGCACACUGCUGCAGUAACUAUUCCUGCUGACAAUCAGCCUGCACAGCAGCAACAGCAACAACCUCA
rnacentral:lncRNA from 1 species